rnacentral:tRNA from 1 species
GCCGCAAUAGCUCAGUGGGAGAGCGGUCCGCUGAAGACGGACAGGCCGCAGGUUCAAAUCCUGCUUGCGGCA